UACAUGUGGGGCAAGCGUUGUUCGGAAUUACUGGGCAUAAAGGGUGCGUAGGCGGCUUGAUAAGUCGGUGGUGAAAUCGUCCGGCCCAACCGGACACGUGCCAAUGAUACUGUCGAGCUUGAGUGCGUGAGGGGUGGGGGGAACGAGCAGUGUAGCGGUGAAAUGCGUAGAUAUUGCUCGGAAGGCCAAAGCCGAAGGGACCCCACUGGUACGCAACUGACGCUGAGGCACGAAAGCGUGGGGAGCGAACAGG
rnacentral:rRNA from 1 species